rnacentral:rRNA from 1 species
UACGGAGGAUCCAAGCGUUAUCCGGAAUCAUUGGGUUUAAAGGGUCCGUAGGCGGUUUGGUAAGUCAGUGGUGAAAGCCCAUCGCUCAACGGUGGAACGGCCAUUGAUACUGCCAGACUUGAAUUAUUAGGAAGUAACUAGAAUAUGUAGUGUAGCGGUGAAAUGCUUAGAGACUACAUGGAAUACCAAUUGCGAAGGCAGGUUACUACUAAUGGAUUGACGCUGAUGGACGAAAAGCGUGGGUAGCGAACAGG